AUUGAACGCUGGCGGCAUGCCUUACACAUGCAAGUCGAACGGUAACAGGUCUUCGGAUGCUGACGAGUGGCGAACGGGUGAGUAAUACAUCGGAACGUGCCCGAUCGUGGGGGAUAACGCAGCGAAAGCUGUGCUAAUACCGCAUACGAUCUACGGAUGAAAGCGGGGGAUCGCAAGACCUCGCGCGGACGGAGCGGCCGAUGGCAGAUUAGGUAGUUGGUGGGAUAAAAGCUUACCAAGCCGACGAUCUGUAGCUGGUCUGAGAGGACGACCAGCCACACUGGGACUGAGACACGGCCCAGACUCCUACGGGAGGCAGCAGUGGGGAAUUUUGGACAAUGGGGGAAACCCUGAUCCAGCCAUGCCGCGUGCAGGAUGAAGGCCCUAUGGGUUGUAAACUGCUUUUGUACGGAACGAAACGGUCUGCCCUAAUACGGCGGGCUAAUGACGGUACCGUAAGAAUAAGCACCGGCUAACUACGUGCCAGCAGCCGCGGUAAACA
rnacentral:rRNA from 1 species